UCACUGCUCCUCGAGUUCAAAGCGUGGCUCCACUGGGUCUAUCUUGCUGAGCAAGCACAAUUCGAACUCUGUGCCAGGUCCAAAGCACACAUGUUGGUGUAAUGAAUGCAGUGCUGAGGAAUGCUUGGGAAGAUGUUGAAUUCUCCUCUCUUCCUCUCUUCUAGCCAUAAGAACCAAACCCUGGUUGCAGUGAAUGAAGAAAUGGACCUGUCUCCCCAAAGUCUGCUAAGUCUGUGUGAACAAGCAAAGAGGUGCUGACAACAACCUAGGUCUCUGGCUACUGUUUCCCAGCCACAUGUCUCAGUUUCCAGCAUCAUGUCAUUAAACUCCUGCCAAAUCAGAGAAAGACUGAGGUACAGUUGGGAAGGCUCUGGAAGGUGUGUGUGCUCCCUGAAGUCCAUCCCCUUGCCAAAAGACAGCAGAUCCCUGGGCUGAGAAAAGAAAAUGAAGGUAAACGGAGGAAAUCUUUGCUUCAAUCAGUAUAUUGCCCCCAAUGUUUAAGUAAAGAGUAAUUUGUUUAAGAAUCCUAUGCAAAGACUAAGCUGAUAAUCUGCCACCCUUAUUCACAGACGAGCAGUCAUUCCAGCAGUCAUUCCAGCUUGCUUAGUACAGAGAAAUUUGGGGAAACACUGUGCGUAAACUGUUGGGGAUAUGACACUUACCAGCAGGCUGAGCUGAUGGGGUAUACUUCACAGAAAAAAAUAGCAACCUGAAUAAUUGUGCUCAGCUAACAGGUGAUACCUGCUGCAGGUUAUAAUAACAGUACCAUGAGACCUGAGAACACCUAAAGGAGGAAAAAGUCCAGUGGGCUGGUCUCCAACACAGUGUCCAGAAAACUUCCUGUCUUGUGGGAGCUCUCUGCCAGAACUGCUCCUGGAAUAUUCAGCUACGGACUGGUAUGUGAAGUCAAAGAAGGAAGUUGACUGCAAAAAGUUUAAGAAAAUUAAAAUGGAUGAGAAGACAGGAAAAUUGAGUGAAAACUGAAGUAUUUCAAAUUUCAUAUCUGAAAAAAAGAGUGGUUAUAAGGUGGCUGAAUCACAGUCUAAAUAUCUGCACAGACAGGAGCAAACCAGCAGAGAUCUUGUAAAUGAAAGGUUUAUUGGUGUUGGAAGCUGUAUCUAGACAAGUUCAUCUA